UUCCUUUUUUAGAAAUAUCUAGCAUCUCUUGAAAAAGUGAUCAGAGAUGAAGUCAUUGGAAGCACUCAUGGCAUUUUAGAAGCACACUCCUUCCUUUUGAUUGUCCUUUGUCAGUUUGUGGAACUUCAGCUUGGCGAAAGCAAUUCUCGCGAACUGAUCAAUGUUCUGUACAGACUGGAUCAUACACUUCAAAGGGCUCAUCAGUAUAACAUCCGUCAAUCUCCCAGACACUCCACAUUGGGUGGGCCAACAGAAUGGCAGGUCAUACUGACAGAGAUGAAAGCUCAGCUUUAUUUGUAUUGUGGAACAUCACUAAUUUGGUUAGCCAAAGAG